CGGGGCGUAGGCUAGUCUGGUAAGUCGCUGGCUUUGGGGGUCAGAAAUCGAAGGUUCAAAUCCUUUCGCCCCGACCA
rnacentral:tRNA from 1 species